rnacentral:rRNA from 1 species
GACGAACGCUGGCGGCGUGCUUAACACAUGCAAGUCGAGCGGAAAGGCCCUGCUUUUGUGGGGUGCUCGAGUGGCGAACGGGUGAGUAACACGUGAGUAACCUGCCCUUGACUUUGGGAUAACUUCAGGAAACUGGGGCUAAUACCGGAUAGGAGCUCCUGCUGCAUGGUGGGGGUUGGAAAGUUUCGGCGGUUGGGGAUGGACUCGCGGCUUAUCAGCUUGUUGGUGGGGUAGUGGCUUACCAAGGCUUUGACGGGUAGCCGGCCUGAGAGGGUGACCGGCCACAUUGGGACUGAGAUACGGCCCAGACUCCUACGGGAGGCAGCAGUGGGGAAUAUUGCACAAUGGGCGGAAGCCUGAUGCAGCAACGCCGCGUGCGGGAUGGCGGCCUUCGGGUUGUAAACCGCUUUCGCCUGUGACGAAGCGUGAGUGACGGUAAUGGGUAAAGAAGCACCGGCUAACUACGUG